GUUUGCACUUAUCGGGGAAGGGUGAGAACCUUCGAUUAAGGUUCGACUUGAGCGAAAGCGAGAGAACGUUGCCAACGGCAACGGCCCGUAGG
rnacentral:sRNA from 1 species